ACGCUCGACACCUACGGGAGGCAGCAGUGGGGAAUAUUGCACAAUGGAGGAAACUCUGAUGCAGCGAUGCCGCGUGAGGGAAGAAGGUUUUCGGAUUGUAAACCUCUGUCUUUGGGGACGAUAAUGACGGUACCCAAGGAGGAAGCUCCGGCUAACUACGUCGCNNNNNGNGUAUNUGNGCGGCGUGNGAG
rnacentral:rRNA from 1 species